rnacentral:rRNA from 1 species
CAGCAGCCGCGGUAAUACGGAGGGAGCUAGCGUUGUUCGGAAUUACUGGGCGUAAAGCGCGCGUAGGCGGUUACUCAAGUCAGAGGUGAAAGCCCGGGGCUCAACCCCGGAACUGCCUUUGAAACUAGGUAACUAGAAUCUUGGAGAGGUCAGUGGAAUUCCGAGUGUAGAGGUGAAAUUCGUAGAUAUUCGGAAGAACACCAGUGGCGAAGGCGACUGACUGGACAAGUAUUGACGCUGAGGUGCGAAAGCGUGGGGAGCAAACAGGAUUAGAUACCCCGGUAGUCCCUGUCUCUUAUAC